UUGCUCGCUUUGAAGCACAUAUACUAAAAUUGGAACAAUAUAGAGAAGAUUAGCAUAGUCCCUGUGCAAGGAUGACAUGCAAAUUAGUGAAGAGUUCAUGUUUUUU